CGGGGUAUAGCGUAGCCCGGUAUCGCGCCUGCUUUGGGAGCAGGAGGUCGCAAGUUCGAAUCUUGCUACCCCGA
rnacentral:tRNA from 1 species